GGGGGUGUUCAGGGCGUCGCUCCUUUCGCUUUGGGCGGAGGGAGAGGAAAGUCCGAGCGCCGCGUGGCCCCGUCCGAUGGCGGGGUGGAUGGUCGCUAACGGCGACCGGUCGAGUGGGAGGUCAAUCGGGCUAAACCCGAAAGACUUCAAACGAAGAUCAGGGAAAGUGCCACAGAAAUCAAACCGCUCUCCGGAGUUCCGCGGCGCCUCAACGGGCGACGCGGAGGGGAGCAAGGGUGAAACGGGGAGGUAAGAGCUCACCGCCCUGAUGGUGACAUCGGGGGCACGGCAAACCCCAUCCGGCGCAAGACCCUCUUUGGGUCGCUCGAAUCCGCCCGUAAGGGCGGAUCCAGAGAAAUGACGUCCCACGACAGAACUCGGCUUACGAACACCCCCGCAC
rnacentral:RNase_P_RNA from 3 species